rnacentral:rRNA from 1 species
GAUGAACGCUGGCGGCGUGCCUAAUACAUGCCAGUCGAGCGAACAGACGAGGAGUUUGCUCCUCUGACGUUAGCGGCGGACGGGUGAGUAACACGUGUAUAACCUACCUAUAUUACUGGGAUAACUUCGGGACACCGGAGCUAAUACCGGAUAAUAUAUUGAACCGCAUGGUUCAAUAGUGAAAGACGGUUUUGCUGUCACUUAUAGAUGGAUCCGCGGCGCAUUAGCUAGUUGGUAAGGUAACGGCUUACCAAGGCAACGAUGCGUAGCCGACCUGAGAGGGUGAGCGGCCACACUGGGACGGAGACACGGUCCAGACUCCUACGGGAGGCAGCAGUAGGAAAUCUGGCGCAAUGGGCGAAAGCCUGACGGAGCGACGCCGCGUGAGUGAUGAAGGUCGUCGGAUCGUAAAACUCUGUUAUGAGGGAAGAACAAAUGUGUAAGUAAGUAGGCACGUCUUGACGGUACCUAAUCAGAAAGCCACGGCUAACUACGUG